rnacentral:rRNA from 1 species
GAUGAACGCUGGCGGCGUGCCUAAUACAUGCCAGUCGAGCGAACAGACGAGGAGCUUGCUCCUCUGACGUUAGCGGCGGACGGGUGAGUAACACGUGGAUAACCUACCUAUAAGACUGGGAUAACUUCGGGAAACCGGAGCUAAUACCGGAUAAUAUAUUGAACCGCAUGGUUCAAUAGUGAAAGACGGUUUUGCUGUCACUUAUAGAUUGAUCCGCGCCGCAUUAGCUAGUUGGUAAGGUAACGGCUUACCAAGGCAACGAUGCGUAGCCGACCUGAGAGGGUGAUCGGCCACACUGGAACUGAGACACGGUCCAGACUCCUACGGGAGGAAGCAGUAGGGAAUCUUCCGCAAUGGGCGAAAGCUUGACGGAGCAACGCCGCGUGAGUGAUGAAGGUCUUCGGAUCGUAAAACUCUGUUAUUAGGGAAGAACAAAUGUGUAAGUAACUAUGCACGUCUUGACGGUACCUAAUCAGAAAGCCACGGCUAACUACGUG